rnacentral:tRNA from 12 species
GACUUAAAAUCCGUCGACUUUAAAAAUCGUGAGG